CAAUAGCGUAUAUUAAAGUUGUUGCAGUUAAAAAGCUCGUAGUUGGAUUUGUGGCUGUCACGGGCGGCCUAUCACUUAGUGUUAGUGCUUGCCUGUGUCGCCAUCCUUGGGUGGAGCCCGUGUGGCAUUAGGUUGUCGCGCGGGGGAUGCCCAUCGUUUACUGUGAGAAAAUUAGAGUGUUCAAAGCAGGCUUAUGCCGUUGAAUAUGUUAGCAUGGAAUAAUAAGAUAGGACCUCGGUACUAUUUUGUUGGUUUGCGCACCGAGGUAAUGAUUAAUAGGGACAGUUGGGGGUAUUCGUAUUUCAUUGUCAGAGGUGAAAUUCUUGGAUUUCUGAAAGACGAACUACUGCGAAAGCAUUUACCAAGGAUGUUUUCAUUAA
rnacentral:rRNA from 1 species